rnacentral:rRNA from 1 species
UACGUAGGGGGCAAGCGUUAUCCGGAUUUACUGGGUGUAAAGGGAGCGUAGACGGUAUGGCAAGUCUGAAGUGAAAGCCCAGGGCUUAACCCUGGGACUGCUUUGGAAACUGGUAGACUAGAGUGCUGGAGAGGUAAGUGGAAUUCCUAGUGUAGCGGUGAAAUGCGUAGAUAUUAGGAGGAACGCCAGUGGCGAAGGCGGCUUACUGGACAGUAACUGACGUUGAGGCUCGAAAGCGUGGGGAGCAAACAGG